rnacentral:rRNA from 1 species
CUGGCGGCAGGCUUAACACAUGCAAGUCGAACGAUGAAGUCUAGCUUGCUUGACGGAUUAGUGGCGAACGGGUGAGUAAUGCUUAGGAAUCUGCCUAUUAGUGGGGGAUAACGUAGGGAAACUUACGCUAAUACCGCAUACGUCUUACGAGAGAAAGGGGGCUUUUAGCUGUCGCUAAUAGAUGAGCCUAAGUCGGAUUAGCUAGUUGGUGGGGUAAAGGCCUACCAAGGGGACGAUCUGUAGCUGGUCUGAGAGGAUGAUCAGCCACACUGGGACUGAGACACGGCCCACACUCCUACGGGAGGCAGCAGUGGGGAAUAUUGGACAAUGGGCGAAAGCCUGAUCCAGCCAUGCCGCGUGUGUGAAGAAGGCCUUUUGGUUGUAAAGCACUUUAAGUGGGGAGGAAAAGCAUGUGGUUAAUACCCACAAGCCCUGACGUUACCCACAGAAUAAGCACCGGCUAACUCUGUCCCAGCAGCCGCGGUAAUACAGAGGGUGCAAGCGUUAAUCGGAAUUACUGGGCGUAAAGCGAGCGUAGGUGGUCAUUUAAGUCAGAUGUGAAAGCCCCGGGCUUAACCUGGGAACUGCAUGUGAUACUGGAUGACUAGAGUAGGUGAGAGGGAAGUAGAAUUCCAGGUGUAGCGGUGAAAAGCGUAGAGAUCUGGAGGAAUACCGAUGGCGAAGGCAGCUUCCUGG